AUUCUCUGCAAGGAUGAGAUAUGAAACGUGUUAAAGAAAACAGGAAAGCACUUGUCAUUGAUUAAAAAGUUUUUAGGAUUUUUUUAUUUUACUUAAGAACUCUUCUUGUCCUGAAAACUUAACUGCCAGGAUUUUAUUUUUAGAAAAUUAUCGCAUCAAAUUCUCAGCCUGGCUUCUUUCUCUCAGUUAGCAUUUCUGGCUUCAUUAUUUAAUGAUUAUUCUGAUAUUGUUGCUGCAAGGAAAAAA
rnacentral:misc_RNA from 1 species